rnacentral:rRNA from 1 species
GCGGCGUGCCUUAUACAUGCAGUCAAGAGAACGGGUGUAGUUUGCUAACAUUGUCAGCUAAGUGGCGCACGGGUGAGUAAUACAUAGAUACAUGCCCUUAGAGAGGGAUAACUGUUGGAAACGACAGCUAAUACCUCAUAUGCUAUAUAUCAUAAGAUAUAUAGUGAAAAGGUUAAUUCUGCUAAAGGAUUAUCUAUGACCUAUUAUUAUUGGUGAGGUAAGGCUCACCAAGACAUGACGGGUACUGGUUUGAGAGGAUGAACAGCACACCGAACUGAGACACGGUCCGGACUCCUACGGGAGGCAGCAGUAGGGAAUAUUGCACAAUGGGGGAAACCCUGAUGCAGCAACGCCGCGUGGAGGAUGAAGCAUUUCGGUGUGUAAACUCCUUUUAACAAGGAAGGAAUUGACGGUACUUGUUGAAUAAGCACCGGCUAACUCCGUGCCAGCAGCCGCGGUAAUACGGAGGGUGCAAGCGUUACUCGGAAUUACUGGGCGUAAAGGGUAUGUAGGCGGACUAAUAAGUCUGUUGUGAAAUGCUAAGGCUUAACCUUGGAAUUGCAAUGGAAACUGU